AUUAUAUGGCUCCAGAAGUAGGAGGCUUCUCACCCUUCUCUGCAUGUUUAGACCAACAACCAAACCCUUGGACGUCGGCAGGUGUUGGUGGCAAUCUUGGAGUGCCUGAUUAUAAUUCUCACCAUCUGGAAGAAGCUAAUGAGGCUGGAGACGGUAAUCUUUUCUUCACGUUCCAAGAACUGGACAGCAUUUUGAACUCCGAUCAGAGUUGAUGUAAAUGCCUUCAUGUGACGACUUUUUUUCACGUGGUUUUCUUCCUUCUAAAUUGGAAGGGUUUUCCACUUAAAUUUGGUGUCUUUUUACAUUGCCUUUAUUUAUUUUAAUAUAUUAAUACACUAAUUUAAAAUA